GAAAUGCGAUAAGUAAUGUGAAUUGCAGAAUUCAGUGAAUCAUCGAAUCUUUGAACGCACAUUGCGCUCCUUGGUAUUCCGGGGAGCACGCCUGUUUGAGAAUCAUUAAAAAUCAAUCACCCUAGUUGGUGGACUUGAGCCUUUUCUCCCGCAAGGAAGAAUGGUUCGAAAUUGAAUGUCGGGAAAUCCCUCGGUACCGUUCCGUUCAGGAUUUCAAGCGCAUGAAAGAGUGUUUUCACUUUAUCUAGUUCGCUUGUUUACCUGCGGGGUGAUGUGCGGGAGGUUUUGCGAACUGCUGGACGAGGCAACUCGGUUGGCGAUUAAGACGCUCGGGGGCAGUUUGUCUCUGAGCUCUUGAACUCUUGGUCUCAAAUCAGGUGGGAAAACCCGCUGAACUUAAGC
rnacentral:misc_RNA from 1 species